rnacentral:rRNA from 1 species
UACGUAGGUGGCAAGCGUUGUCCGGAUUUAUUGGGUUUAAAGGGUGCGCAGGCGGGAGAUUAAGUCGGCGGUGAAAUUUUGCAGCUCAACUGUAAAAGUGCCUUCGAAACUGGUUUCCUUGAGUGUAGAUGAAGUAGGCGGAAUUUGUGGUGUAGCGGUGAAAUGCAUAGAUAUCACGAGGAACUCCGAUUGCGCAGGCAGCUUACUAAACUACUACUGACGCUCAGGCACGAAGGCGUGGGGAUCAAACAGGAUUAGAUACCCCGGUAGU